GCAGCCGCGGUAAUACGUAGGUGGCAAGCGUUAUCCGGAUUUACUGGGUGUAAAGGGUGAGUAGGCGGGAGAUCAAGUCAGAUGUGAAAUACAAAGGCUUAACCUUUGAACUGCAUUUGAAACUGUUCUUCUUGAGUAUCGGAGAGGUAAUUGGAAUUCCCAGUGUAGCGGUGAAAUGCGUAGAGAUUGGGAGGAACACCAGUGGCGAAGGCGGAUUACUGGACGAUAACUGACGCUGAGGCACGAAAGUGUGGGGAGCAAACAGGAUUAGAUACCCC
rnacentral:rRNA from 1 species